GACGAACGCUGGCGGCGUGCUUAACACAUGCAAGUCGAGCGGUAAGGCUCCUUCGGGAGUACACGAGCGGCGAACGGGUGAGUAACACGUGAGCAAUCUGCCCUUCACUUUGGGAUAACCACCGGAAACGGUGGCUAAUACCGAACACGACCACUUCAGGCAUCUGAUGGUGGUGGAAAGUUCCGGCGGUGAAGGAUGAGCUCGCGGUCUAUCAGCUUGUUGGUGAGGUAAUGGCUCACCAAGGCUUCGACGGGUAGGCGGCCUGAGAGGGUGACCGGCCACACUGGGACUGAGACACGGCCCAGACUCCUACGGGAGGCAGCAGUGGGGAAUAUUGGACAAUGGGCGAAAGCCUGAUCCAGCAACGCCGCGUGAGGGAUGACGGCCUUCGGGUUGUAAACCUCUUUCAGCGGGGACGAAGCGAAAGUGACGGUACCCGCAGAAGAAGGACCGGCCAACUACGUGCCAGCCGCCGCCGUAACAC
rnacentral:rRNA from 1 species